rnacentral:misc_RNA from 1 species
CUGUUGCUUCGUUGAGAUCAGUGCUUCUCUCUACAAAAGAAUUUCCAAACUUAUCGUAAUGCGUUGCCAGAGUUAAGGCCUAUGUCCAAAGCUUUAUUUUAAAAUGCUGGAGAGAACAGAAAGUGGAACUUAAUAUGCAUAGUAAAUAUAAGAAUAACAGAAGCAGGAUUUUGUAAGUCUAAAGAUAUUUUUAGGUUUGGAUACACUCAUUCCUCAUAAAAGAAAAAGGAAGGAAAAGGGCGUUGUUCAUUUUUUUAAAAGGAAUAAAGAACCGUCAAAUGAUUUUACCGGUUUGUCGCAUUAGCCUAAUUUGGAUAUAAUUCGAAAUUGUAUAAAAGGUAUCCAAUUUUUUCCUGCGUCUUGUAAGUCAAUCUCCGAUAAAUAAGAGAUUAAUGUGAAAAUAAUGCCUUCAUGAGAAACAACUUAUUUCAACCACAUCUCAUUCUCAGCAAUCACAGAGUUCCAUUAUAGACGUUGAUAAAAAAAAUAAUAUAAAGAAUAAGUGCAGCAAUUACUUCGUCCGGCUUCAAUUUGUCCUUUUUACAAAGUCAAAGUUUUCGAAUUGUCUUGAAGCAAACAACCCUACACAGAUCUGUCUGUCAUAGGUAACGCUUAAUAUCUCUUAGGAAAUGAAGUAUAACGACUGUGAUUUCCAAGCGCUUCAUCUUACCUUUUAACGAGAUUGGAUCAAGAGCCUUGGAAUAAUUUCGUUUCUCUUAAGUUUAAUUCCCAUCGUCCAUUCGCUGCUCUUUCUGAUAUAUGAUUAACGAUUUCUUUAAACAUCUCGGUGAAUACGAGAUUUGAACUCCUUCACUAUUUCCUUAGAAGCUUAAAUCCUCUUUCUAAGAAGUAAUUUUUGGCUGGCAACCAAGCAAGUCAUGCUCUAAAGUUUUAUGAUCGUUCAAAAAAAUAAUCCAACUAACGUCUUUGGCAUUUCGUCUAAUCAAACCUUGGAAGUCGCUUUUCAUCGACAAUUUCUUAGCUUAAACUUGACAAAUAGAUUACAUUUUUUCUACAAUAUUCAAGCAUUUCUUUAACAUUU